rnacentral:rRNA from 1 species
GAUGAACGCUGGCGGCGUGCCUAAUACAUGCAAGUCGAGCGAAUGGAUUAAGAGCUUGCUCUUAUGAAGUUAGCGGCGGAUGGGUGAGUAACACGUGGGUAACCUGCCCAUAAGACUGGGAUAACUCCGGGAAACCGGGGCUAAUACCGGAUAACAUUUUGAACCGCAUGGUUCGAAAUUGAAAGGCGGCUUCGGCUGUCACUUAUGGAUGGACCCGCGUAGCAUUAGCUAGUUGGUGAGGUAACGGCUCACCAAGGCAACGAUGCGUAGCCGACCUGAGAGGGGGAGCGGCCACACUGGGAAUGAGACACGGCCCAGACUCCUACGGGAGGCAGCAGUAGGGAAUCUUCCGCAAUGGGCGAAAGUCUGACGGAGCAACGCCGCGUGAGUGAUGAAGGCUUUCGGGUCGUAAAACUCUGUUGUUAGGGAAGAACAAGUGCUAGUUGAAUAAGCUGGCACCUUGACGGUACCUAACCAGAAAGCCACGGCUAACUACGUGCCAGCCGCCGCGGUAA